ACGAAACGGCCCAAACAUGUUUCAUCAUUUCAUGAACCAUUUUCCACUCAAAAAACCCACCCACCCUUGAUCAAAAAUUGAUUGCCCUAUUUCGAAAGAAGCUGCCUUCGACGAGAGCAGUCCACCUCUACUCCUCCUCCCACCUCUGAGCUUAUCCACAAACUGACGCUUCUUUCGACGAGAGUAGUCCACCUCUACUCCUCCUCCCACCUCCGAGCCAAGCUUAUCCACAAACCGACGUUGCCUCCUAAGGUUAUUAGAGAUAUUCUUCAUGCGAUUCCCCUCUCGUGAAGGCACAGGACGAUCCAUCUUCUCAAGUUGCAGAACAACGUCGUACGUUCGCACUCCCGUGACCUAGUACCACUGCAAGAGGGUUGCAGAGACGCUCCCGUGACAUACUACUGCUGCAAGAGGGUUGCAGAGAUGCAGCUUUAAAAUAGGACUUCGGGAGACCUAUUUUACCUUCGAUUGUUCAAGAUCGUUGCAUUGUGCGACUGGAUUUUUGUCCUGUGCAUUUCAGCCUUUGGUGCCCUAGGUAUGUAGUUGGAUUUUUUAAACUAUUGAUUCCCUACCCUGAUAAUCGUUGAUUGCUAGCUAGCAGGCCUCUCUUCUGGGGUUUUGACAUCCCUCUUUGACUUAGGGUUUUCCAUGAUCUACCCUUCCAGUAGAUGUAGAUGGUAGUUCAUCAGAGUCUCUCUCUCUAACAAACUUCGGCACCCAUUUAUAGUUUGAGAAUUUCAUUCCGUUGGUCUCUUGUACCAUCGAUUGUUCAAGGUAAAUCCGUUGUGCGACUGGAAUUAGUGGAAAUCCUUUGAAGAUCGUUGGAUACCCGAUACGUUUCUGAAGGAAUGUGAAAGUUUCUUAUUGAGGAAAAGAGCCACCACUGGUUAUGCGAUUUUUGGCCAUUGUUUGAUUUAAAGAUUUAUAUAUGUUUCACCACUUAAAAUGCUCUGUUUCUGCCUUCUGUUGUAAUGUACUAAAGCCUUUACUCUGUCUAUAAUAGAGGGUUUCGUUUCUACCUUAGUUCCUUUGACAUGGCUGAGUCCUAAAUGAGGAAAUUAGGCUUAUCAGUUCACUUUCAUUAUGAAUGCAGUAUAGUAUUGAGACUAUGUUCCUAUUGAAGCUUUUGCUUUGUAAUUUUUUUCUUAGGAAGCAAGUGGGGGAAGUUUUCACACUCUUUUGUGAUCAUUAAUCAAAAGAGGUUAUGUUGCAUUUUUGUUCAAAGUAACUAUUUGACAUUGAAAUUUUCUACACUAAACUCUUGUAUGGAUACCAUCUUGAUAUGUAUAAGUAUUUGAUUGAAGAGGGUUGGUAGGUUGUUGUGAGAUUGUUUUUUCCCCAAUAUUUACCUUAUGGUGGACAUGUACAUGGAUCAUCGGCUCAUUGAAAACUGUUUUCUUAUUUAUAUUUUUUUAUCUUCCAUCCACCCACUUCAUUAUGGUUCCUUUUUUAUGAUUACUUCAAACACCAUUUCCAACAUUACUUCAUUAUUAUUGUCAUUGUUGUGUUUUAUUUAUUGCCAAUAUCUAUUCUUCCCUAGUAAAUAAAAGGUUAAUGAAGUAUAUGGUACUAUUUAUAUGCAUUAGUGACCUAUGUCAGUGUUUCAAAUUUUCUUUGAGUUUGAUCCUGUAAAUUCUACUUAUUCUCUCCAGCUCUCUGCCUCCCUCUACCUCAAAGUAAUCUUUAACAUCAUUUCUUAAUUUUUAACCUCCUACACCUUUUAAGGAUUGCAUGUUUAGAUGUGAACCUAAUGCAUUGGAUAUAUUUGCACAUCCUUCUAUUUUCCAUUUUUUUUUUAAACACAACUUUUAUUUAUAUCAUUGAUAGAAGUUAUAUUGAUGCAAGUAUGGAAUGAGGCAGUUCAUCAAGUUUGUUAUUAUAUAAGCACAAUUUAUGUGAAUGCAACUAAUUUAGAUAUUUGGAAUGUUUGCUAAAUUACAUAUGCAUCUUCAACGAUAUGAGAUCUCCAAGAACCCCCACCCCCAAAAGCAAUACUAUUAUAUGGAAUAAGGCUAAGGUUAGAGCAUUCAUCAAUCAUAUGGUUGAGAAUGUCCGGAAAGGUCAAAAGACCAAUUCCACCUUCACAAAGGUGGGGUGGGAUAAUAUUAAGAAAGGUUUAGAAUAGGAAUUCAGUCACCCAUUUGCAAGGGAGCAACUGCGUAACAAAAUGAACAAGUUAUGAAGGCAGUACAACAGCUUCAAGCGUUUGCUAGAAACGACGGGAUUCGAAUGGGAUGCAAAUGCAAGGACUACGACAACGGAAGACUCUGUGUGGGAAUCUACAAUUAAGGACAUUGAACCGGAUGUAAGUGAAGGUUGUAGUGGCGAACCCGAUAAUUCAGCUCCUCCUAGGCGACACAUUGAUAGGACUCCUACGGAUAGUAGGAGGAAGAGUCAGACACGCACACUCACGAACUCUACACAGGACUUCAGGGAGUUUGUGAGAUGGAGGAUGGAGAAGGGAAACUCCUCUGCCACUUCAGCCGUUGUCCGACCUCCAUAUCCAAUGUAUGACAGGCCACAUAGUAUUAUGAGCUGUCAAAAGCUCUUUGACUCUUUAGAAGAGCUUCCAUUGGAUUUGUAUGUCUUGGCUCAGCAUAAGAUACAUAGUGAUGCUGGUUGGCGCUUGUCAUUCGUGGAAGUUAGGGCUAACAGGAGGUUGUGGAUGAUCUAACACUUGAAGGAUAUCCCGUGAGCUACUUCAGUUGGUUUUAUUUCAUGGUCUUUUUAGAAAUUGAGCUGGUUGGGUUGGAGAUUGUAUGGACUUUUCAGAACUGAUUUGAGCUGGUUGAGUUGGUUUUAUUUCUGGGACUUAUAUAUUCCUCUUUCUAACAUACGUUUGUUGUGAACUGACCGGGAUGUUGAUACUUUAGGUGGAUGUUGCUUGUGUUUUAUGGUUUUAUGUUGGAUUCGUAAAUGUUUUUUGUUAACUUUUUAAUAUAGGAUGUGACAUAUAAUUAAAUAUGGAUAGGUAAUGAUUAUGGUUCAUAUUUAUGCUCA